GCCCUCGAGCCGGAUUUGAACCAGCGACCUAAGGAUCACCGUUUAACAUCUACAGUCUUCCGCUCUGCCAACUGAGCUAUCGAGGG
rnacentral:tRNA from 1 species